UGCCAGACUCCUACGGGAGGCAGCAGUGAGGAAUAUUGGUCAAUGGCCAAGAGGCUGAACCAGCCAAGUCGCGUGAGGGAUGACGGCCCUACGGGUUGUAAACCUCUUUUGCCGGGGAGCAAAGAGCGGGACGCGUCCCGCCUCGAGAGUACCCGGAGAAAAAGCAUCGGCUAACUCCGUGCCAGCAGCCGCGGUAAUACGGAGGAUGCGAGCGUUAUCCGGAUUUAUUGGGUUUAAAGGGUGCGUAGGCGGACGCUUAAGUCAGCGGUAAAAUUGCGGGGCUCAACCUCGUCGAGCCGUUGAAACUGGGUGCCUUGAGUGGGCGAGAAGUACGCGGAAUGCGUGGUGUAGCGGUGAAAUGCAUAGAUAUCACGCAGAACUCCGAUUGCGAAGGCAGCGUACCGGCGCCCAACUGACGCUGAAGCACGAAGGCGUGGGUAUCGAACAGGAUUAGAUACCCUCGUAG
rnacentral:rRNA from 1 species